UUUUUUUUUUUUUUUCACAGAGGGAUACCAGAGGCCUACAGAUCUUUUGGGUCGAUAAUAUUGUUUUAGUUCUGGUGCCAAUUGAGGUUUUUGUCUAAACUGUGCCUAGUGCUAUCUUUUGCUGAUUAGAUGCUCCAGAGUGAUCAGAAGAAAUUUGCUUGGACUGUGGUUCUUUCCAGGUUGAGUCAUUUAGUGGGGAGAUCAAGGAUUAACUUAAUUAAAUCAACUACUACUUUCACAGUGUUAGGGAUCCUGCUGAGAUUAAUGAGGACUAAGGUUAAUGAGGACCAAGUUUUCCUUUCCUCUGUCUUAGUAUCUUUAAGAUAGUACCACUCACCAGACUUGCGUCACUGCAGCUCCCCUCACAUUCUGUACACUGACCAUUAUAUAUCUCUAUAUCUAUAUCUAUAUCUAUAUAUAUCUCAUCUGCUUCUCUGAAAUGGAUCAUUCUGAGUUUUCCUACAUCUUUUGCUGAGUAUAAGCUUGUCUGCUGUCCCAUUUUGCAAGGCUCCUUCUCAUUCAUCUAUUCUCUGAAGCACCAACCAAAGUGGCUGCACAAAAUACACAAAUUCCUCUUUGUGUAUAAUUUACCUACUGGACAGUGGUGUGGUAAAUACACCUUUAGGUAACCACAAAUUAUUAUUGUUUUAACCCAUGUACUCUUUGCUCUCCUGUUGUUUGCAUUGUGUCUUUAAGGCCCACUGAAGGACCUACUGCACUGCCAGGUCCUGUAAAAAAGAAAAAAAUACUAAGAUAAAAGAAACCUUAGAAACAAGGAAAAUCUUAAGGCAUACCAGAUUGCAAUGUUUGAAUGCAAUUUUUUUCAGAAGCUCUUCCUAGAUUUUUUUCUCCUGUGGCACCACGCUGUCCAAAUGCAGUAACACCAGUUUCAGAAGUCCUGUCCCAGGAGUAGUACCACUGAUAUUAAUGAUACACUGAAAGAACAGAAAACCACUUCACAGAGAAAAUGUGUUUUCUGAAUGCUGCUGAAGCUUUGGAAAUGUGAUGCAUUUCUCUGAAUUUCUCUAGCUAAACUUUCUCAUUAUUUGUUUUUACAUAUGUUUCUUAUCUUUUAGAGAUUUUUUUUAUAUGAUCAGAUUUUCUUAAAUCCAGUCCAUUCAGAAUUGUAAGAAGGAAAGAGGAGAGAAAUAUUUCAGGAGAUGUAAGAACAGAUUUGUGUAUUACAUGUGGUUAAAAAAAAACCUGUCAGCAACUAAUCACACAAAUUCACUACAGUUUUUUUAAAUUAAAAAUCUUAAAUAGAAAGUACUACACACACUAAAGAUUUAAUAACUAUUACUUAUUCAUCUAAAAUUUUCCAGUCGAAAGAUACUAUCUUAGCAAACAUUUAGCAAAGUCUCUUGGUACACUAGACAUAAUAGGUAUUUUUUCUUUUUAUGUUUUUAUGUUACCUUGUAGUUUACAUUUCAUAAUUUUUAAAGGCUUUUCAAAACUUUCAAAAAGGGCAAGAUCCUAAAAAUGUUAUGUAAAAGCACUCUUGGAUCCCUGUACUUUUUUUAAGAGAAUAUGGAGCAUAUUUAGGAGGGGGUUAAAAAAAGGAAUAAAUGAACAUUAUAAUACUAGUAGUACUAGCUAUAAAAAUGUUACUCCUGAACACCUUGUGUUGUUUUCAAGGGCUUUGAAAUUAUUUCCCUAACAACCUUGUUGGAUUAAAAAAGAAAAAUAAAACCAUUAUUAUACUCCUGUUUCUUAACAUACAUGCUGUGUUCUCUUGAAAUGCACUGGGUUAUCAGCAUUACAGAUGCUCUUUAAAUAGUAAACAGAUGCACCCCUGGUCAGUCACACUGAAAGCAUGCCAGUACUGCCUUCCUAAAAUGCUCCAUCUCCAAUCCAUCCAGGUAGGCUAAAAGACUCUCCCUCACUCAGUCCCUUGCAGAAGUUAUCAGUAAAAAUGCAAAUGAACUGUGAUUAUGACUAUUUUUUUAAACAAAGGUAACAUUCACUCCUGCAGAAGUGCCACCUAUCUAAUCAAUUUGGUCAAGCUAUUUAUACAUGUUUCUUCUGUGUGGCAUAAGAUUUCACUAAGGUCACUGGAGAAGACAUUGAUGCCUGGUAAAUUGCCAGUAAUCAAAGGUUGUUAAGUGCUUGUCAGCCUCCUUUCAAGCUUAGUCUAUCUUUAUCAUGAGGCAGACUUAGUUGAGCAGCUAGAGACCGUUCAUUCAUAAAUGGAUCACACUCAGGAAUAAUGCAUGAUACCAUUAAAAUAUCCAUAUUGCUGCAGAAACAUUUGUUCUAAAGCAAUCUCUUUUUUUUCUGAAAUAAGACUGUGGCCAAUGAAAGCGAAAUCUUGUGAUGUCUCUGCAACAAGGCUACUAUCCACACAUGAUAGGCUUUGUUUCCCAGCUCCUCCUCUCUCCUUUGAGCCCUGUCCCCCAAGGCCUCUGUUGAGCUUAGAUUCUGGAAUAUAUGCAGGAAAAGAUAUGCUAUUUUAGAGUUUUAGUUGCACUUGGAGUUUAUUUCAGUUUUUCCAGUUGCUCUCUCCAGUUAUAGUAGUUUGUUGGCCGCAAAAGAAAAGGCCAGUUAACCUUAAAUGGAAAACAUUUAGGGUAGAUGCUGACGAACUCUUAAAGAUACAAAGAUCUUCUUUUCACAUCUUGAUUAAAGCCACUAAAUAAUAAAUUGAAAAAAAACCUGAAGCAAGUAAUUAGUUGGAGAAAUAAGUAUAGCUCCACUGAAAUUAUGAGCCCACAUUACUUAAUUCUACCUGUGCACUACAUUUAAAAUAUGUUCAGAACUACAUGGUAUUAGAAAAAGAAAUCUGUGAAGAAAUUUUAUAGUAUUUUGAAAAAACGUGUCAGAAUUAAAUUCUCCUGGAGAUAUAUCAGAGGAAGAUACAUCUCUCCAACCUACCAAAUUGAUCAUAAGUUUACAAGGUGCAAAAGAUAUGGUUGCAGGAAGAAUUAAAGAAAUUCUGAAUGGUAAAUCAAUAAUGAAAUGCUGUGAUCAGUGGAAACCUUUGGUGAACACCCAAGACAGACUUGAAGUGAAAGGUAGUGAUGAUCAUUUAUUAUUAAUAAAACUUUUCUUGAAGGAGUCCUGUGCAAGGACUGUUCUCUUUCUCUACAACUGACUAGCAGUCAUAUGGAUUGCUUUCUGACAAAGACUGCUAGAGUUUACAAUUUGUGAUCAGCUACAAGUAAGUGGAAGGCUUCCCUUGGCAGUGUAAGGUGCUGUGCAAUAUGACUCAACAAAGGCUGUAAAAGGCAUAGAUUUUCUCUGCCCUAAUAGCAACCUAUUUCCCAUCAGACAUCUCAAAACCAGACCAUUGAGAUGCAGUCAGACACUGAACGAUAUAACCCUACCAAUCUGUUCUGGUUUAGCAAUCCUCCUUUGCCUCUCUAUUUUGGGCAUAGAGUGUUGCUUCCAGGACUGACAUUUUGGGGCCAGUUACAAUCAGCAGCUUGAGGGCUGCAUUUAUAUUUGAGGCAGCCAUUUUCUUCUUUUUCCAGACCCUUUUUCCUCAUGAUAAGGCUGCAAAUAAAUGAUGCUGCGAGCACUGCACCUGGGAAAGCUGAGAGUCUGCAGAGACUAGGAUGGUUCUAUGUACUGACAGCCAAACAAAACUGAAGUAUCCUCAUACCAGAAACUUGAUUCUUCUGUUCCUGAGCACACCAUAUCUUCAAAUUAAAUGUAAACAAUACCUAAACAAGCUCACUUAUUUUAAAAUCAUAAAAUGACAACUCUGUGAACACAUCCCUUUAAAUUAUUUGAAAGAUCUCUUCAAUAACUUGCAGCAAUUGCUUAAUAUAUUGGAAAUUUCACAAUUUCCCAAGUGCACACAUCCUGAAUGCUACAGGACCUCAUUCCCCUCCUAAAACCUUCAUAUGACCUGCAACUACAAGAUGCUGCCAUAAAAUAGCACACUGGUACCAGAACCAUCCUCUGGAUGCAAUCAAUACUCUUUGUGCAUAAACACAGCUUAAGGAGAAAUAAACAAAACACAGUCACUGCACUCCCUUAAAACAGGGUAGAUUGCACAUCAGUAUUUUGGUUAGUCAGCCACCUCGUCAGCAAUCAAAAUAAGCAACUUAAUUACAAAUGUUAUUUUUGGAACCUGAAAGGAGUUACAGCACAGAGGACGUGAUCUAUCUGCAUUUAUGGUGCUUUCAUCUGGAAAUUAAUCUUUCAAGCAAAAGCCACAUAUUUAAUUGAUAUAAAUUUAUACUCACUCUUACCUUGAACAGUCUCAAAGUUAUCAGUCACAUUCCACACAUCAGUAUGAACUGAGAAGAACCAUAGAUAUCCUUCCUAAAAUGUUUUAGAGGCCUCUCUCUCCAACAGCUUGAUAGGUCUGAGGGACCCAUCAGUGUGAUGGAAGUCUGUGUUACCCCGAUACCAAAAUAUUGUAAUGUGUGACUUGCUUGCACUUCUUGUUUCCUCCCUCAUGACAUCUACAAUACCAUUCACUUGCUCACUGUAGAAAGUUAACAUGAUUUCCAUCAAAGAUUUCAAAAACUCCGAAACCACCCAAAUGAUUUCUUGUCAAUUUUUCUCUCCACUCCUCUGUGUCAAGAGCACUGCAAGAUCUUUUAAGCUGCACUGCAGGGAGCCAACAUGCUUUUAGGUGAUGGCAGCAUACCAGUAUUAAUUUCACUAACCUAGUUCAGCAUGCAGUAUGCAAUCAUUUCCCACUCUCCUCCUGAUUUUUUCCCCCAGCCUAUUUUCAAUUUAAUUUAUAUGUUGGUAAAGAUUCUAUCUUUAAAAAAGACAGA
rnacentral:lncRNA from 1 species